rnacentral:rRNA from 1 species
UAACGGCGAGUGAAGCGGCAACGCUCAAUUUGAAAUCUGGCGUCUUUGCGCGUCCGAGUUGUAAUUUGCAGAGGGCGCUUUGGAAUUGGCAGCGGUCCAAGUUCCCUUGGAACAGGACGUCCCAGAGGGUGAGACUCCCGUACGUGGUCGCUAGCCUUUACCGUGUAAAGCCCCUUCGACGAGUCGAGUUGUUUGGGAAUGCAGCUCUAAAUGGGAGGUAAAUUUCUUCUAAAGCUAAAUACUGGCCAGAGACCGAUAGCGCACAAGUAGAGUGAUCGAAAGAUGAAAAGCACUUUGGAAAGAGAGUUAAAAAGCACGUGAAAUUGUUGAAAGGGAAGCGCUUGCAGCCAGACUUGCCUGUAGUUGCUCAUCCGGGUUUCUACCCGGUGCACUCUUCUAUAGGCAGGCCAGCAUCAGUUUGGGCGGUUGGAUAAAGGUCUCUGUCAUGUACCUCCUUUCGGGGAAAACUUAUAGGGGAGACGACAUGCAACCAGCCUGGACUGAGGUCCGCCCAUCUGCUAGGAUGCUGGCGUAAUGGCUGUA